rnacentral:rRNA from 1 species
UACGUAGGGGGCAAGCGUUGUCCGGAAUUAUUGGGCGUAAAGAGCGUGUAGGCGGUCUGGUAAGUCAGCUGUGAAAGUCAAGGGCUCAACCCUUGAAUGCCGGUUGAUACUGUCGGGCUAGAGUCCGGAAGAGGCGAGUGGAAUUCCCGGUGUAGCGGUGAAAUGCGCAGAUAUCGGGAGGAACACCAAUGGCGAAGGCAGCUCGCUGGGACGGUACUGACGCUGAGACGCGAAAGCGUGGGGAGCAAACAGG